rnacentral:rRNA from 1 species
GACGAACGCUGGCGGCGUGCUUAACACAUGCAAGUCGAACGGAAAGGCCCUGCUUUUGUGGGGUGCUCGAGUGGCGAACGGGUGAGUAACACGUGAGUAACCUGCCCCUGACUUUGGGAUAACUUCAGGAAACUGGGGCUAAUACCGGAUAGGAGCUCCUGCUGCAUGGUGGGGGUUGGAAAGUUUCGGCGGUUGGGGAUGGACUCGCGGCUUAUCAGCUUGUUGGUGGGGUAGUGGCUUACCAAGGCUUUGACGGGUAGCCGGCCUGGGAGGGUGACCAGCCACAUUGGGCCUGAGGUACGGCCCAGACUCCUACCUGAGGCAGUAGUGGGGAAUAUUGCACAACAGGCGGAAGCCUGAUGCAGCAGCGCCGCGUGCGGGAUGACGGCCUUCGGGUUGUAAACCGCUUUCGCCUGUGACGAAGCGUGAGUGACGGUAAUGGGUAAAGAAGCACCGGCUAACUACGUG